rnacentral:rRNA from 1 species
GAUGAACGCUGGCGGCGUGCCUAAUACAUGCAAGUCGAGCGAACAGACGAGGAGCUUGCUCCUCUGACGUUAGCGGCGGACGGGUGAGUAACACGUGGAUAACCUACCUAUAAGACUGGGAUAACUUCGGGAAACCGGAGCUAAUACCGGAUAACAUGUUGAACCGCAUGGUUCAACAGUGAAAGACGGUCUUGCUGUCACUUAUAGAUGGAUCCGCGCCGCAUUAGCUAGUUGGUAAGGUAACGGCUUACCAAGGCAACGAUGCGUAGCCGACCUGAGAGGGUGAUCGGCCACACUGGAACUGAGACACGGUCCAGACUCCUACGGGAGGCAGCAGUGGGGAAUCUUCCGCAAUGGGCGAAAGCCUGACGGAGCAACGCCGCGUGAGUGAAGAAGGUCUUCGGAUCGUAAAACUCUGUUAUUAGGGAAGAUCAAAUGUGUAAGUAACUAUGCACGUCUUGACGGUACCUAAUCAGAAAGCCACGGCUAACUACGUG